AAAAAAGUAGACAGGUGUUUUACAGUAGGCCGAAAGGACCACUGUUGUGAGAUUUAUGUGCAAAAAUAAUUUCUGGUUUUAGGUCUUAAGAUCGAAUGGUGUUGUGGUCGUAUCCGCCGACGGCAAGGCAAAUGGCGGUGACCGGCGGCGUAUUUGUCGUCGGCGGUUUGCUCUUCGGCGUCGGAGCUUAUUUCUCGUUUGUUAACGUGGCUCCUCAACAGGAGCGUCUUAAGUCUCGCAGGGAAGCAAUGAGGAAUUAUAUCAAGAAGCGAUUCGGAGAUUCGUGAUCCAAGUUUCUGCACUUUGUUGGCGUUUGGGGGGGUUUUUGUUUGGUAAGAAAAACUGUUGAAAGGCUCUUUUGUUUUUGUUAUUAGUGUCUCGUUUUUCAUUUUGCUCAAUUCGUAUGGAAAUUCUGCUAGUGUAGUCAAAUAUUUUGUGUAAUUGAAUGAACAUUGUAAAUAAGAGAAAAUUUGAGCAAUCAAUUAGCUUAAUUGAAAUUUGAGGGAUUAAAAUUGCAUUGUCCUAAUAAUUGAGAGACUGAAAAUACAGUUAAGGCUAUACGAAAGAUUUUUGUUCUGCAACAGCAUAAUAUAGGUUGAAUCUUUGAUGCAAUUCAGGAAAGAAUUUUCUUUUGGUUCAUCAUUGUUUCUUGUCGUGGAUGAAAAAUCCUUCAAUAAGGAUCAGGCAUUUGUGUUGGCCAUCGAAUAAACAGUCACUCUUUUUCUUGUAGUUGGGUUGUCUAAUAAAUUCUGAGGCUAUUUUUCCUUUUUUCAAAUGGCAGUCAUUUAUGCUAUCCUCUUGUAAAAUAUUAUGUUGUCCACUUGAUUGAAAGUUGAAACAUAGUUGCACUUAGAAGGCCUUUGAUAAGGGGGGAAUUUUAAGAUGUUUGAGAAUCUUAGAUUAGAAAUCUGAUUUACAUGUUUGGUAUUUAUUUUAAAAAAUAACAUUUCCGGAAAUGAAGAUUUUCUUGAAAUGUUUUUUAGCUAGGUUUUUAAAAAAAAAUAAAAAAUCAUGGGAGGUGCGAAUUACUUUUCGGGUUUAAUUUUUCUUUUACUCUAGUUCUAGUAAAAGUAUUAUGUUACUUUGUUAGAUUAUUUAAUAUGAUAAAUAAUCCAAGUAACAAAUAAAAAUAUCACCUAACUCAUUAUCAGAAAACUUGUCUAAAUAUUUUCAAAAAUAUUUAUGGUCAACCAAAUAAAUUUUAUUUUUCAUUCCCCAAAACAUGUUUCCCAAAAUUCAUGAUUAUUAGGAAUCAUAAUUCCAAGAGUGAAAAAACUUACGUAAGAUGCCUCAGUAAAUGUGAAAAGUGUGUUUGUUUAGAUAGAUAUUAUUUUAAGUUUAAUGGUCAUUGUAAAACUCUUUUACAUUGUUAACUAUACAAAAAAAUUAUUGUUAUGAUUUUUAAGGUAUUUAUCGUAAAAACGAACAAACUUAUGCUACAUAUACUUGCCAUACUUGAGGAUCUGAAUGCAAGAUAUUAGCCAAGCAUCAAAUAUCCUUUGUCUCGGUGAAUCCUAUAACAUUAAAACUCUAGAGCAUGUUAUGAAUCCUAACGACCCAAACUCUAGGCAGGGUUUGGAUCCUCUCCAUUUUGUUUUUUCUGCAUUUCUUCCAUUACUAAGUUUUUGAGAUAAUACAUGAGGGUCAUCAAUUUUGCUGCUUCUGCAAUCAGAUGGCGGAAACAACAUCACACCUAUUUUUUUCUUGCCAAUUCGCACAAUCAGUCUGGUUAUCGUGCUACUAAUGGCUUGGUGUCAAUCUGGUCCUGCCAGAAUCAGUGGAGAUGCAUUUCUGGCAGCAUGGAGGGCUUAUAGGGAGAAAGAAAGGGAAGUGGUUAUGGUGGGGCAUUUGGGCAACCGUAUUAUGGUCCCUGUGGUGCCCACAGGAAUGAUGUUAUUUUUAAUGAUGCUCAAGCUAGUUCUGAAUAUGUUGGGGACAUGAUUCUAAUUAGAUCAUGGAUGUGUCUAAAGGCUAAAGUAAAAGGUUUUUCAGCAUCCUUUAGUGAUUGGUCCUCUAAUCCUGCAGUAUCCUUGUACCAAUUAUGAUUGUUAUGUUAGUGUAUAUCUGCUAAUGGGGCUUCGGGAACUUUUUGGAGUGUCUAUGUGGAUUUAUAUGGCCAAAUAUGGAUUCUGUUGGUG
rnacentral:lncRNA from 1 species